AUGGGAGGUGACAUAACUGGGAGGUAACACAUAGCAUUGGAGGUGACAGUUAGCACAAGGGGAGGUGACAGUAGCAGUGGGAGAAAGUGACAAUACGGGGGUGACAGUAACAUGGGAGGUGACAGUAACAUGGGAGACGAAGUACAUGGAGGUGACGUAGCAUGGGAGGUGACAGUAGCAUGGGAGGU
rnacentral:lncRNA from 1 species